UUCCAGCUCCAAUAGCGUAUAUUAAAGUUGUUGCAGUUAAAAAGCUCGUAGUUGAAUUUCGGGGUUAGUAGGCUGGUCAUGCCUCCGGUAUGUACUGGUCUCACUGAUUCCUCCUUCCUGAUGAACCGUAAUGCCAUUAAUUUGGUGUUGCGGGGAAUCUGGACUGUUACUUUGAAAAAAUUAGAGUGUUUAAAGCAAGCUAACGCUUGAAUACAUUAGCAUGGAAUAAUGAAAUAGGACGUUCGAUCCUAUUUUGUUGGUUUCUAGGAUUGACGUAAUGAUUAAUAGGGAUAGUUGGGGGCAUUAGUAUCCAAUUGUCAGAGGUGAAAUUCUUGGAUUUAUUGAAGACUAACUACUGCGAAAGCAUUUGCCAAGGAUGUUUUCAUUAAUCGAGGACGAAAGUUAGGGGAUCGAAGACGAUCAGAUACCGUCGUAGUCUUAACCAUAAACUAUGCCGACUAGGGAUCGG
rnacentral:rRNA from 1 species